rnacentral:tRNA from 1 species
ACCUGUUGUCGGCAAUGGCGGGUCUGGGUAUUGAUAAUGCCUACGUCGAGCUGAGCGCGGCCGAAGUGCCGAUCAUGGACGGCAGCGCAGGUCCC